rnacentral:snRNA from 1 species
AGAUGUGAGGGCGAUCUGGCUGCGAUAUCUGUCACCCCACUGAUCACCAGGGUUGAUUCGGCUGAUCUGGCUGGUUAGGCGGGUGUCCCUUUCCUCCCUCACUGAUCCAUGUGUGUCCCUCCCAAAGAUGUGCACUCACUUGAAGCGGACAGCCUUCCCCGAAUAGAGACGAACCGGUCUUCGGGCAAAGGUAUAUGAGUAGCUGCGCUCCUCUGCUAGAACCUCCCAUCUAGCUCCAUACACUUAUGACUCUAAAAUGUAUCACUCAAUAUUGCGUAUAAAAGAUGAUUAAUGGGGGCUGGAGCGAUAGCACAGCGGUAAGGCGUUUGCUUGCACUCGGUGCUAC